rnacentral:rRNA from 1 species
UACGUAGGUGGCAAGCGUUGUCCGGAUUUACUGGGCGUAAAGAGCGCGCAGGCGGUUGGAUAAGUCGAAUGUGAAAGCCCCCGGCUCAACUGGGGAGGGUCAUUCGAUACUGUCCGACUCGAAGGCAGGAGAGGGAAGCGGAAUUCCCGGUGUAGUGGUGAAAUGCGUAGAUAUCGGGAGGAACACCAGCGGCGAAGGCGGCUUUCUGGCCUGUUCUUGACGCUGAGGCGCGAAAGCCAGGGGAGCAAACGGG